CGUUAAGAAGCUAAGUUGGGACUAGCGUUAGCCUUUUAAGCUAAAGAAUGGUGGCUUCCUACCCACCCUUAGCGU
rnacentral:tRNA from 1 species